UAGCUAGUUGGUAGGGUAAAGGCCUACCAAGGCGACGAUCGGUAGCUGGUCUGAGAGGAUGGCCAGCCACACUGCGACUGAGACACGGCCCAGACUCCUACGGGAGGCAGCAGUGGGGAAUAUUGGACAAUGGGGGAAACCCUGAUCCAGCAAUGCCGCGUGUGUGAAGAAGGCCUGAGGGUUGUAAAGCACUUUCAGUGGGGAGGAGGAUUGAUAGGUUAAGAGCUAAUUAAUUGGACGUUACCCACAGAAGAAGCACCGGCUAACUCCGUGCCAGCAGCCGCGGUAAUACGGAGGGUGCGAGCGUUAAUCGGAAUUACUGGGCGUAAAGGGUGCGUAGGUUGUUGAGUAAGUUAUCUGUGAAAUUCCUGGGCUUAACCUGGGACGGUCAGAUAAUACUGCUUGACUCGAGUAUGGGAGAGGGUAGUGGAAUUUCCGGUGUAGCGGUGAAAUGCGUAGAGAUCGGAAGGAACACCAGUGGCGAAGGCGGCUACCUGGCCUAAUACUGACACUGAGGCACGAAAGCGUGGGGAGCAAACAGGAUUAGAUACCCUGGUAGUCCACGCUGUAAACGAUGUCAACUAGCUGUUGGCCUUAUGAAUGAGGUUAGUGGCGC
rnacentral:rRNA from 1 species